GGAGAGGUGGCUGAGUGGUUGAAGGCGCACGCCUGGAAAGCGUGAUUACUUGAAAGGGUAACGAGGGUUCGAAUCCCUCCCUCUCCGCCA
rnacentral:tRNA from 3 species